GACAGAGGGUGCAAACGUUGUUCGGAAUUACUGGGCGUAAAGCGCAUGUAGGCGGCCCGCACAAGGUCGGGAUGUGAAAUCCCUCGGCUCAACCGAAGGACGUGCAUUCCGAAACCGUGCGGCUCGAGCCCUGGAGAGGGUCGUGGAAUUCUCGGCGUAGAGGUGAAAUUCGUAGAUAUCGGGAGGAACACCGGCGGCGAAAGCGGCGACCUGGAC
rnacentral:rRNA from 1 species